ensembl:misc_RNA Metazoa_SRP Metazoan signal recognition particle RNA
GCUGGGCGUUGUGGCGGGCGCCUGUAGUCCCAGCUACUCAGGAGGCUGAGGCAGGAGAAUGGCUUGAACCCGGGAGGUGGAGCUUGCAGUGAGCUGAGAUUCAGCCACUGCACUCCAGCCUGGGUGACAGAGCGAGAUUCCGUCUCAA